UUGUCAUCAGUAGUGUUUAGUGGCGGACGGGUGAGUAACACGUUGGUACCUGCCUUAGUGGGGAAUAACUCGGCGAAAGUCGGGCUAAUACCGCAUGUGAUCCUUCGGGAUUAAAGCCUUCGGGCGCUAAAGGAGGGGCCUGCGUCUGAUUAGCUUGUUGGUAAGGUAAAUGGCUUACCAAGGCGAUGAUCAGUAGCUGGUUCGAGAGGAUGAUCAGCCACACUGGAACUGAGAUACGGUCCAGACUCCUACGGGAGGCAGCAGUAAGGAAUCUUCCGCAAUGGACGAAAGUCUGACGGAGCAACGCCGCGUGCAGGAUGAAGGCUUUCGGGUCGUAAACUGCUUUUGUAUGGGAAGAUUAUGACGGUACCAUACGAAUAAGGACCGGCUAACUACGUG
rnacentral:rRNA from 1 species